CCGUUGGUCUGCUUAUUUGUACUUUGUUUUCUUAGCGGCCUUUCCUCGUGUGGCUGUGAACACGUGAGCUUAAUAGCUCCGAAUCAACAUUCAAAGUAUCUUCCUGGUUAGAAAUUAUUUGUUAAGCCAGACUGAGUGGCCGUCUUUACAAUUUUCCCUCCUCGCUCUCAGAAGCUGCACCUGGGUGUAAAAUCUGCCAACACUCCACAAGAGUCUUCCAGACAUCAUGUCCCUCCUUUAUAUUUCCAUCUUAUGGGUCUGUGCCUGUGUGGGUGAGUGACCAGGUUCUACAACACCAACAAGACAGAAGUGUCCUUCUAUUGAAUCAAAUAUCACAACAAUGUUUUGUCAAAUGUUACAAAUCCUGUAGAUUGUAAUGUUUCUC